rnacentral:rRNA from 1 species
AUACGGAGGGUGCAAGCGUUAUCCGGAAUCACUGGGUUUAAAGGGUGCGUAGGCGGCCUGGUAAGUCAGAGGUGAAAUACACGAGCUUAACUGGUGAAUUGCCUUUGAAACUAUCAAGCUAGAAUUAUGUUGAGGUCAGCGGAAUGAGUCAUGUAGCGGUGAAAUGAAUAGAUAUGACUUAGAACACCAAUUGCGUAGGCAGCUGGCUAGGCAUUAAUUGACGCUGAGGCACGAAAGCGUGGGGAGCGAACAGGAUUAGAAACCCCAGUAGUCC